CCCUUAGAUGUCCUGGGCCGCACGCGCGCUACACUGAUGCAUGCAACGAGUUUAUAACCUUGGCCUGAAAGGUCUGGGUAAUCUUUUGAACGUGCAUCGUGAUAGGGAUAGAUUAUUGCAAUUGUUAAUCUUGGACGAGGAAUUCCUAGUAAACGCGGGUCAUCAGCUCGCAUUGAUUACGUCCCUGCCCUUUGUACACACCGCCCGUCGCACCUACCGAUUGAAUGGUUCGGUGAAGAUCUCGGACUUCGAUAUUUAUUCUUUAUUGAGUUUAUAUUGUGGGAAGUUAUCUAAACCUCAUCAUUUAGAGGAAGGUGAAGUCGUAACA
rnacentral:rRNA from 1 species